rnacentral:snoRNA from 1 species
UGUUAUGAUGAGAAAUCUUGAUUAGCUCUAGAUCAAGAGCUGCUUUAUGCAGCGAUGAGCGACAUUUGCAUGUAUUACCUGAACC